ensembl:lncRNA
GACCGACUGUCCUCUGGCCUGCUCUGCCUGCAGCUGGAAAAGCAAGUGUACUGAGGCCUCCUCUGGACUCCCUCAUGCUGCCCACUUCUCCCUCCAGCAAGUCCCUGGGCACUGCCAAUGGCCCUGGCCCCUCUCCUCUCUCACCCAUCCACCCACAGAGAGUUGCUAAACCUGUGUCAGGUGCUCUGUAUCUGAGACUUUGGGUGACAACAGUGAGCAAAGGCAGAUGUUGUCCCUGCCCUCAUGGAGCCUACAGGGUUUUGGAGGAGAGAGGUUAAAGAAUCACCAAGCAAAUAUCACCAGUGCUGAGGAGAGAGAGAUCGAACUCGGGACCUUGCACUUGCGAGGCAGGCCGCGGAACCACUGAGCUAAAUGCCUGGCCAAAACCUGUGUUCUUCCAUUUGGCCAGGCUGUCUCCUGGAGAGUAAAGAGCUGUUUAGAGGACAGUGAUGAAUUAUUGUUCACCUAGAAGCUGAAAAUUCUUGUGCACAUGUACCAGGGAUCGAACUCAGGACCUUGUGCUUUCAAGGCAGGCAGUGGCACCACUGAGCUAAAUCCCAG